CAUGAGGGGCCACGGAAUCUUCCAGAGAGCUGCAGGAGGCGUGUUUUGCAAGGAGCUGCAUACUGCCAGAGAGCCUAUGGGGACUCUGUAUCAGCCACAAGCUUGUGAGAAGCAGCACUAGGAUGUGGAACCUACAGGCAAAAAGCACUGGAAGGAGUUGCUCUGUGAAAGGGACAGGAGGCAGAUGAAGGGUGCUUAGACCUGUUAUGUGUUGGUGUUCUUCUGUCCAUGCACAGCUAAGACUGAAUUUCCUGCACAAUAUCACUGGGAAAGCAUUGGAAGAGUCCUGUACAUUUGUAUUCCCAAGGAUUCUAAGAAAAUUCCACCUUGAACAGACCAGGAUUUCUGAUACAGAAGAAAUAAGUAUCAUCGGUAAGUGUAUCAUGGCAGCAUGAACCCCUAACUGGGUCUCAGAAGGUUUGGAUUCUAAUGCUUAGAUCUGAAAUCUUCCAUGAAAUUUGAGUGACACACAAAACUAAAAGAAGGCAAAUUCCCAUUUCUUGUUUAGAUAUGAACAAAACAAUGAACUAUUGAGUCCAGAUUGGUUAAAAA